CAGGUCUGUGUGUAGAGACGUGUGCAGACAGAGCGACCACAGCCUCAGACUCUUCAGCUGGACUUCCUGAUGAAGAUCCUCCCCAACUACCACCACAUGAAGAAGACUGUCAAAACCACCUCCGCUGUCACGCCGGCCAGAAACUAGCCACCAGCUCGCAGCCCCGCCGGGCCAAACAUGUACCUCUCUGGCAGACGGCGAAUGAAGGAAUCUCACCACUCAAACAUGUACUGCUACUACUUUAACAGGAAGCUGAAGAAUGUCACUGUUCUCCUCGUCUCACCACACCAAUGUCCUGUUUCUCAGACCCAGAUGGAUGUAAAACGCGUUUUAGUCCAUGAUUAGGCUUGACCUGUGACCUGUGACUGGGAAACUGCCCCUUUGUAGUAGAAGUGCUCUAUGUUUUGUGUCUGACUGUUUACCACCAAAAUGCUUUAUAUCCAAUUGUAAUUAAAAAGGGGACUUAUUUAAACGUU